AGAUCUUAUAGUCACAUAUUGGUUCUGCUUGUGCAUCACUCCUAAGUAUGUCAUAAUCUUUUUUAAACUAAAGCAAUGAUGUUUUAUUGUUUCUAUAAAGAAAAUUAUAAGUUUUCCGCUUCUUGGCCUUGGAUUUUUCCAUAUGCGUAGUAGGGUCAGAUUAUCAGUCCUUGAUGAUAUUUGCUGUUAUCUCAGGUUCAUUCAGCU
rnacentral:misc_RNA from 1 species